GGACGAACGCUGGCGGCGUGCUUAACACAUGCAAGUCGAGCGGUAAGGCCCUUUCGGGGGUACACGAGCGGCGAACGGGUGAGUAACACGUGGGUGACCUGCCCUCAGCUCUGGGAUAAGCCUGGGAAACCGGGUCUAAUACCGGAUAUGACUCCAUGACGCAUGUUGUGGGGGUGGAAAGCCUUGUGCGGCUGAGGAUGGGGCCCGCGGCCUAUC
rnacentral:rRNA from 1 species